rnacentral:lncRNA from 1 species
AAAGAGAGACGAAGAAGCAGAUUCCGAACCAGAGAGGCGUAGGGAGCGAAAAUGGUGAAGUUCUUGAAACCUAACAAGGCGGUGAUUCUCUUGCAAGGCCGAUAUGCCGGCAAGAAAGCCGUGAUUGUGAAAACCUUCGACGACGGAACCCGCGAGAAGCCUUACGGACACUGUCUUGUUGCUGGAAUUAAGAAGUACCCUAGCAAAGUGAUCAAGAAAGACUCAGCGAAGAAGACGGCGAAGAAAUCUAGGGUUAAGGCAUUCGUGAAGCUGGUGAAUUACCAACAUCUGAUGCCUACUCGUUACACUCUAGAUGUGGAUCUGAAGGAUGCUGUUGUUCCUGAUGUUCUUCAAUCAAAGGACAAGAAGGUGACUGCACUGAAAGAAACUAAGAAGAGGCUUGAAGAGAGGUUCAAAACAGGGAAGAACAGGUGGUUUUUCACCAAGCUUAGGUUUUGAAUUUUCACUGUUCUGUUUCUAGUUAUACAUUUUGGCUUUUGAUUAUUAUGAAUGAAUUAUGGAAGAACUUGUGGCUUAGUUUUGAUUAUUAUGAAGGUAUUAUUAUAUGCAUCUUUGAUCUAUCUCAUAUAUUAGCUUGAUUAGAUUGGUUAUUUACAUUUUGAAAUUGUGGUUAAUUUGGUUAAUUCAGAAAAUAAGAUAAGGAAUGCAGGAAAUAUUACGAUUUUGUAUUUUAUACAAUUUUUUCUCUGCUAUACUAUUACUGCUUGUUUAAGCUUGUCUAGCUUAGUAGGUUUUUAGCCACGGUAAUUUUUAAGAGCUCACGAGAUAAAUGUCAUUUUUUGUGUUUGAAUAACAAACUGUCUUUAAAUUAGACUACCGUUUUUGUGGUUUGGUGAGGAUGCCUACCUCCUGAUAUCUUGUGCCCCAAAAUUAGAUUCACACAACUUUUCCAUUUCAUUUGCAAACUCUUUCAUUUACAAAAAAAAUGAUAGCAGACAUCAAUAUCUUUGCUCCUUUCAUGCACCACUUAUCACAAAAACUACUUUGUAGCCUCUUUUCACUCAUAUAGUGUGACAACUACACCUUGUAGUGUAAAAAAUAAUGCUUCUGUGUUUGCUUAGUGUCAUUAUUAGUUGCUUUUUUCUCUGAAUUAUGUGUCUGAGUUGCUUAGACUAUUAGUUGAUUUUUUCCAUGUCUUGCUUAGAGUCACUAUUUGUAACGCAGAAAAAGAAUAAAAAAAAACUGCAUUGAAAUAUAAUCAAUUGGCAGGAGAAAGGAAAUAAUGAGAGGAUCCAGAUCUGUAACCACAUGCAUUACAUUCGGCCUUGUAGUUGUGAGCUACAUCAAGCCUUCGACUAGCUGCUUGUAAAAGAACCGUCCAUCUUAAGAGCAUUUUUAUCCUUGAAGAUUUUGAAUGCUCCAUUCCAAUUUUCUUUCAUUUAUGAGACAUACUUUAUUUGACUAAUGAAACAUAGUACUCCAAUAUCAAGAAAGCACAUCAUCUUUUAUUGAGCUUGCACAUCUUCUGCUCCACAUUCUUUAUCUCAUAACCCACUGUUGCUCUUCACAGGCAAUUCUAACUAAUUUUCUGUAAAGAAAGACCGAGUUUAUGUGGGAAGUUGAAACACACCAACUUCUUUGAGCAACUAAUGCUUAGAUUGUUUGCACUGUGUCCAUACAAGCAACAUGGGGCAUCUCUUAUCUUCAGAAGAAGUUUGAUCAGAGUGAACAAAAUGAGCAAACAAAGCUAAAAUGAGCAAACAAAGGUAGUUAAGUUUAUCCGGUUUCCUCUUAAUUAGAAAGACCUCUUUUACAUGGACUUUCAUUCAUCCAUGUCGAUGCUCUUCUCUUUCAGGUUUCUGUCACUGGGAAAGUAUAAUUUUCCUCACCUUUAGGAGUCAAAUGAUCUUCUUCAUUGUAUUCUCAAUUCUCUUCAUUGCUGUCAUCCUUGCCAACUCCAUAUUCCAAUUCAAAUGUAUUAUCCUCUUUACAACUCUCAUCCUAACUAUACUUUUUGUCUUCAAAAAUGACAUCUCGACUAAUGACAAUCCACUUUGAGACGUGGUCGUUGCGACUCUUAUCUUCAAGUUUUAUCCGUCGAAAAUCUGGUACAUGAGCAUAUGUUACACUGCAAAAAUCUCUGAAGUGUUAGAUUUACCCUAUAACAAGCUUCCUUUGGCGUCAUCUCUUUUCCUGAAAAUAUUGGACAUAUAUUAAAAUCAUGGAAUUCCUAGUUGACUUCCUCUUGCCAAAACCUUUUUGGGACAUAUUUCUCAAUCAAUAAACUCUUCGCCAUGUUCAUCGCUUUUUUAUUGGUUUUCUCAUCGACUAUGUUUUGUUGUGACAUAUAUGCAACAAUUAAUUUCAUCUUGAUCCCAUUUGUUCUACAAUAUUCCUUGAACUCAAUCAAUUUCUUUUUCCCCAAGAACAUUAAAUAGCUUAAAAGAUAUGAAUGCAUCUGCCUUUGAGAUAAGAAAAUACACCGAUUUCAUUUAUACGAUAAUUAUCAACAAAACAAAUGAGACACUUUUUGCUACUUUAUGAUAUUGGAGAUAUUGACCACAAUAUCAUCAUCAACUAGCCACAGUUAUUAACAGCGGUCGCUCCAAGCACUAUCCCAGUUUUGGAUAACGCCAGGAAAAGUUGGGAUAAAGAGUUGCGGGAGCAGAGUGCUUCCCGGUCCGAAGCGUUUUUUUUGCUUUUAGGGCUUUUUGGAGUGCAAAAAAACCUUUUAAUCCUUAAAAAAAAUUAAAAUUUUAAAAAAUAUUAUAGUCGUUCGUGUUUUCUCCUCUUUCAUUCGUGUUUUUAGGUUUCUCCAUCGCAUUUCUUUUGUUCGUUGUUUCUCGUGUUUUUUGUGCGCUACUUCUUAUGCCCUUAACUCCUCAUCUGCCUCAACUGCUUCAAGCUUCUCUCUAUUCUCCUUCUUCUCUACUUCUGUUUUCUACUUUUCUAUUUUGUUCUCUAUCCUGUUCUUUUCUAUUAAUUAAUUUUCUAUUCUAUUUCAGGAUAGUUUUUCUUUCAUAUCAUUGUUCUCGAAUUAAUAUAUGUAGAUUAUUCAUAUAACUAAUCCAAAAUAUUAUUCAAUCUACAUUAAAUAUAUAGUUAGAUUAUUCAUAUUAUUAGUCAAAAAAUUUAUCCCGCUAUCCACUAUCUCAUUUUAUGAGUCGGCCGCUCGGCUUCGUUAUCCGGGAUAAAUAACUGUGGAACCAACUUCAACCUUUCUGAUGCUCUUCAUGUGUUGCUAUUUGCGAUCAUUUCUUUGUGUUACUUCCCCUUCAGACAAUCACUACAUACAACUUCAACCUAAAAAAAAACUCGGCAAACCUCUCACCAUACCUUUGUUUUUAGAGUUUUCGAUCCUUUGUAGAUGAGGUGACUGAAUCUUUGGUGCCAAAGAUAAGUCAAUUCUUGAGUGGUUGCUUGAAAAAAAUUAUUCCUUGGGUUCCUCCUCAUUUGACUGUGUGUUUGAUAACAACAUAAACAUUUUGUUCGUUGUCAUGUUGGUUUGAAUAAACAAUAACAUUAAUUUGGCUUCAUUAAAACAAAUAGACCCUUAUCUUGCAACUACUUAACAUUGAUAAGGUAGUUCUUCAAUUUAGACACAUAAAACACAUCUUCACUAGAUGGUUUUCUUUGUUCACUGUCAAUUAGAUGCUUCAUUUAUCAACAAUGUGAAUGCUUGCAUAAUUCCCCAACUUGACGAGGUUGUUGAAACUUUCUUGUAAGUUGUAAAAAAGUGAUCAAUUCUCACACAUGUGAUUGUUGCACCCAGAAUCAAUAAACCACUCAUUAAUACCACCUCCUUUGAAUCUUCCAAGUAUGCAUAAUUUGUUUCACAUUCGUAUUGGAAAUGUCUGAUUUUAUGACAUUUAUAGCAUUAAAUGGUCUCUCUAUUCCAAUUUUGAUGACCAUUGCCUUUGGCUCUGCUUUGUCCAUGUCCUCUUCUAAAAGUGGCUCUUCCACAACCUUUACCAUCACAGGUCUCUUCGUGAAUGACCUUCAAAAUGUGUUCUUAUUCGCCAGUUACCUUAAACUUUUGCUCACGGACGAGCAAAGAACUUUGUAAGGCAUCCACAAAGAGUUAAUCUAUAUCUUUGGAUUCUUAAAUGGAACAAACGAUGUAAUUCCAUUUAUCAGUAAAGGUUUUAAAAAUAUUCUCAAUGAUCUUAACAUCCCUCAUAUUUCCCCCUAUAAUUUAUUAUGUCUUACAAUCGUCAUUACUCGACUAAAUUAAUCAGUGAUCGACUCAUCAUGGUUCAUUGUCAGAACCUAAAAAUUCUUCUACGGAUGGUUGAGUUGAGCUCCCUUCAUUCAAGUGUUGCAUUGAAACUUGGUCUUCAUGGAGUCCCGAUUCUAUUUAGAUGUCUCGUUUUGUGUGACCGUUUUUAGAAUUGAAUUGUCAAGAGAUUGAAGCAAGUAACUUUUACCCUUAAAGUCCUCCAGCUUUAUCUUCUCCAAGUUUUGUUUUUGUGUUCUUGUCAUCCCUUACAUACUCUCGGAUUCUGAGCUGCCUAAUUCAACAGGAACCCAUUAUUCUUUAGAUCAAAGGAGAUUAUUCAUGACCUUGCUCUAUUGAUCGUAGUCACCAUCAAAAUUCAGAAUGAAAGGUUCUGCAAAACUUUUUACUUCUGUCCCCAUCUCCCUUCACUCCCUUACGUGUUUUCUCUCAAGUCAUUGCUUUGAUACCAGAAUGUUAGAUGAAAAACUAACUUAUGUGUUGAAUAAGAAAAUACAUCAAAUAAAUAGGAAUAAAACAGGUGAACUACAACUCAUGUUCACAACCCGCAUUUUACAUAAGAAAUAGGAAACAAACUUGACCAAAUCAAAUAUAUUAUACCUAAACUUAUCAAUAACAUAGGCACUUUAGUGGGGAAAGAAACCCAUUAACCAUAUUCUUAAGAAAAAGUAAUUCAACAACCAAUGUAUUUUAAUUGUUAAGAAUGUGUUUGAGUUUUUUUUUAUAAGCAAAAUUUCAUUACAAAAAACAGAGUAUAAUGGGUACUCUAGCCCAACAAUACAUAUACAACCAGUCACCUCCUAAUCAAGCAAUUCAAGGGGGAUGUAAAUCAGACGAAGAAAUUAUAAACAAAGUUAUUAUUGUUGCCUAUAACAGUCCAAUUCCAAGAAAGAAGCUUAAUAAAUAAGAGUAUGUCUUCUAUGUUGAAAAUUGUACCUUGAAAUGAAGUAUUAUUUCCCUUCAUCCAAAUGCUUCAACAAUCAGCUAACCUAAUUGAGUCUGCCAGGCUAGAACUGAAAGCUUUCCUCAAUAGCCUAACUGUUAGAUGUUAAUAACGCUUUUUUACACGAUGAUUUUAAUGAAGAAAUUUAUAUGAUUUUACCUAAAGGAGUAACUAUUAAUACUCCUUCAUCUUCAACUACCAAAGUCUGCAAGUUUCAAAAGUCCAUUUAUGGACUCAAACAAACUAGUCGACAAUGGUAUUCAAAGUUGUCUGAAUCCUUAAUUUCUAUUUGUUAUAAACAUUCUCUUAUUGACUACUCCCUUUCCAUAAAGCACGAAAACUCUUCAUUUACCAUUUUAUUAAUUUAUAUUGAUGAUAUUGUUCUUUUUGGAAAUGAUUUAUCUGAAAUCAACUCUGUUAAAGCCUAUCUUCACAAUUGUUUUAAAAUUAAGGACUUAUGCAAUAUUAGAUUCUUUAUUGGUUUAGAAUCAGCCAGGUCUUUUAAAGGAAUCAUGAUAAAUAAAUAAAAUACACUUUAGAACUCUUGGAAGACUCUGGCCAACUUGCUAUCAAGCCUUCUAAAACCUAUAUGAUCCUUCCCUUAAGCUAGAUAAUCCAGAUUCCCUUCUCUAUGAGGAUGAACCUCAAUUUCAAAGACUUAUAGGAAGACUUCUUUAUUUAAAUACUACUAGACCCGACACAGACUUUGUUGUUCAAUAACUUAGUAAAUAUAUCUCCAAACCGAAGCUAGUUCACUUCAAAGCUGCUAUUCGUGUUUUACAAUAUUUAAUAUUUGCUCCAAGUACUUGCAUUUUUUUUUGUAUCUGUUGAUUUUUGCUUAUCUAACUUUGAAGAUUCUAAUUGGGCUACUUGUCCAACCUCUAGAAGAUCUGUCACUGUUUGUGUUGUAUUUCUUGGCAUUCUAUAGUCUCCUGAAACCUAAAAAGUAGGGCAUUAUCUCCCAAAGUAGUUCAGAACCAGAAUACGGUGCUUUGGGAAGCCUAGCCUAUAAAAUUAAGUGGAUACACUACCUAUUUAAUGAUUUCAACACCUCGUUUCAUCAACAAACUUCAGUAUAUUAAGACAAUAAUUCUUCAAUCUACCUCACUCACAAUCCUCCUUUUCAUGAACAAUCCAAAUUAGGGUUGGCAAAACGGGUCGUCUGCCCUGCACAUCUUAAGCCCGCCAAAAAAAGGGGAGGGACGGGCAAGCCCGACAAGUGAAGUUGGACUUAAAAAUCUAUCUAACCCCGCCAAGGUGGCGGGUUGGCGGGCGGCGGACUUGCCCGUCUAUUUAUUUAUUAUUCAUUUUUUAAUAAAUAAAUAUGUUUAUUUUUAUAUUUCAAUUAGUUUUUUCACUUACUUUUUAGAAUACUUUUUUAUAAAGCAUAAUUUAACAAAUUUUAUUUAAAAAAAUAUUGCAUAUAUUCAUAAAUAAAUAAAUAAAAUAGAAUCAUCAACAAGUAUUUUAAAAUUAUAGUUUAAAUACUAAUCUUCAACCAACGAAAAUAAAUAUUUCAAGUGGUUGACAACUAGGUUGAGGGACCAAUCCACCCUUUUUUUUUGCGGGUUUAAGGCGGUGCAGGCUUAAAGUGGGACGGACGGAGCGGAUAGACGGGUAUAAAAUCCUAACCCAAUCCACCAUUUUUGAAGGGUGCACGGGCCGACCCGACGGGUCACGACCUAUUUUGCCAUCCCUAGUCCAAAUAUAUGGAACUCAAUUGCCAUAUGAUUUAGAAAAAGAUAGAAUCUGGGCUCAUCAAACUGUUUCCUAUCAUUACCAAGACUCAAAUGCCAGAUUUUCUAACUAGAACAACCGUAUAAACCAGCCUUUGAGACUCACAUUUCCAAAUUUGAACUACUCAACAUUCAGUCUAAUUUGUGGGGGAUGUAUCACAUAUAGGAAAUAUUACAUAGUUUAUAUUUUUAUCGCUCUAACCAUUAUGACUAGUUAAAGCUACUAGCCAUUACUUUCUAGUUUAUAGGAUUAUGCUGUUAUUUUCCUGUGUGUAUAUAUAGGGGAUUGUUAUAUUUUCUCUAUGUUGAAUAAUAAAGGUGUGUAAACAUUAAUAUUAAAAGUUAAAUUAAUAUGUUUAUUUUAAUUAUAAAAAACGAAAGAAAUUGUUUUCUUCUUCAACAAAGAUUUGCAUUCGUCACCUCUUUUUCUUUCAAUUCUUAUCAUUUUUUUAUUUUCUCUUUUGCAAAUCCAAUACAUACCACACCACCGGUUACUUAUUCUCUGUUUUGAUCUUCCAUCGCAUGUCUAUACAACUACGCCACUAUUUUUGAGAUAGCGAGUGUCGAUUAAUGAAGACAAUAUUUUUUUUAUUGUGUGACUAGGUUGAAGAAAAGUAUGAAUCCUAAUUUUUAUGUCAAUUUUGUAUCUAUGAAAACAAAACAAAAAAUGAUGUAUUUAGCGACCUUCCGAAUGUAUUUGGUAAGGAAUGGAAAGGUUUAAGUGGAAAUGAAUUUGGAGAGACAUUUUUGAGUACAUUGAAAUGAGAAAAAAAUGUCACAUGAUUAUAUAUUGAAAGACACAUAUAUGAUAUAAAUAUUGAUUUCAAUAGAAUUUUGGAUGGUCUUAGUAUAAUGAUUUUGUAUUUUGACCUUAGCGAUUUCAUUAGAAAGGACAAUGUCUCUCCUAAAAUAUAACAUAUUUUGACGAGUGUCAUUUUUAAUAAAAGUGUUCGAUAUAUAAAUGUAAAAUUUGAGAUAACCACAAGACAAAAAUAAAUUUUUGAUUGUUUGUAAGCUGUACAUUAUAAGAUUUUCUCUUUGAUAUCCUUAUUGACGGUCUAGACAAACAUAUAUCUUCGGUAGAGUAUUGUACCAUCCUUAAAUAUUGGCUUAUGAUUCCCUUAUUUCAUGUUGAAGAGGUUUGUUAUGUAUACCCACAAAGCGUCCUUGGAUACAUUUGAGAACACGUUAUUCAUUCCAACGAGCUCUGAGAAUUCAUAAACUUAUAUGACUAUGUUAUGAAUGUUCUAUUUGAAAAAAUUAGACCCUUACAAUUUUUUUGAUUAAUCCACACAAGAGAAGAUGAAAAUUUAUAUAUAAUCUUAAUUAUAUAUAUUGUAAAAUCAUAAUGCAUAAAAAAUUAUUUUCAUAAAUAUAAUUUUUAAAAAUAUUCAUCUUAUCAUUAAAAAAUAAUAGCGGUGUAUAACUAACCGUCCAUCUUCAAAGUUAUUUUGCAGGUGCCUAAUUCUCUAAAAUAUAUGCCUAAUUUUGCAUGUGCCUAAUUCUAUAAAAAUUAUUUCAGUCAAUUUAGAGCUGUAUUUUUAUAUGCCUUAUAUUUCUAAGAUAUACAAUUGAGAUUAUACACAAAUAGUAUAAACCCAUGUCUAUACCGGUUUAAUGUCCAUGUUACCUUAGAAACUUGCAAAAUUGUAUUUAAUUUUUUAUAAUUGAAAAAAUGAUAAGAUUUUUUUAUAAUUGUAUUUAAUAUAAACGAAUGGGUCAUUCUAAUUUGAUUUUGAUAAUAAAAAAUGAUAAGAUUUUUUUAUACACCAAUUUUUUAAAGUCUAGACGGAUUGAGUAAUACAUUAGACAAAUCCCUAUCCAAUCUAAUCCAAUAUGUUACACCUAUUGACUAGAGUGAAACUUCUAUCCAAUCUAAUCCAAUAUGUUACACCUAUUGACUAGAGUGAAACUUUUGCAUGAUGAUUCAUAAUUAUUUAUUUCAUUUAAAAUUGAUCUAUCUUCUUUUUAAUUGAGAUCACAACGAAUCAUUAAUAUCAAGAUGGCUCACAUUUUUUUUAUUAAUUAUAGUUUUUAUUUAUUUAUUAUGGUACAAUAUAUAACUAUUUGUUAGUACAAUAUAAAUAAAAUUAUAAGAAUGUGAAUAAAGCUCUUUAAAAAAUCAUAUUGUAAAUAAAUAGUCAUACUUUUGCACAAAAAAUGUUGGCCCUAGACUAUAAUCUAAUUUUAAAUUGAUUACUCCAUUUAUUUACUUUUAUGAAUGAGAUGUAUUUUUGUUUUUCAUUUUUGUCUUAUAAAUUGGGCCAUAAUAAUAGCAAAUUGGGCUCUAAAUGACGGGCCCAGGAUCCAAUUGGGUAUUAAGCUUCAAUAUCUAUAAACAGAAUUAGGGUUUUUAUCCCAGAAAGAGAGACGAAGAAGCAGAUUCCGAACCAGAGAGGCGUAGGGAGCGAAAAUGGUGAAGUUCUUGAAACCUAACAAGGCGGUGAUUCUCUUGCAAGGCCGAUAUGCCGGCAAGAAAGCCGUGAUUGUGAAAACCUUCGACGACGGAACCCGUGAGAAGCCUUACGGACACUGUCUUGUUGCUGGAAUCAAGAAGUACCCUAGCAAAGUGAUCAAGAAAGACUCAGCGAAGAAGACGGCGAAGAAAUCUAGGGUUAAGGCAUUCGUGAAGCUGGUGAAUUAUCAACAUCUGAUGCCUACUCGUUACACUCUGGAUGUGGAUCUGAA